GUGGGGAUUGAAUUCCUACAAUUGAAAAUGGGAAAAGGUUAUCAAUCUUGUUGGACUUUGGAUUGGAAGAUCUACGGUCGGAGUUGACAAAGAGUCUCGAGGGAAAGUCUGCCGGAAGCUCCAUUUCCAUCAGAAAAUCUCACUUAGCCCGGAUGUUUUUGCCAUUAAGUUGUUCAACCUAUUGGAUCUCGUAAUCUUCAUCUUUUUUCUGCUUGCAUUUGUGGAAUUGACAGAGAAAGCACUCGAGAACUGGAAUGAAUGGUUGAGUUGUAGGAAUCGAGAUCAGAGGAUAUAGGUGUAAAGCUUAGAGGAAGAGAAAGGGGUUCGAGGAGAUUUUUUAGAAACUCAAACAGAAGAGAUCAGAUUACUUUCCUGAAUUUCUCUAUUUUGAAGUUCUGUAGCUAAAAAUCUUUGUUUUUUCCAGCCGAACUAUAGGAGAUUCAGGCAAAAAGAGGUCUUCAGAACUCUGUAUUUCCAGCUGCAUGGGCAAUGAAGAGGUGGAGUACAAGCCUCUCCCUAGUGGUCCAAGAAAUGGUACUAAAAAAGAGACUAGGGCAUCUGGAGAUGUAAAGGUGAGUUUAUGUUGUUAGUUGUAUUCCCAUCUAUCUAAGCUGUUGGAGUAAUUUCUUGUAACCAUCCCAAGUCCCAAUUCUUGAGAAUGUUUAUUGGAAGGACCUCAUCCUUCUUGUCUCUAUCUGGAUUGCAUUCCUUGCACUAUAGAUUGCCAAGAAUUAUAUGACAACCUGUUCGAUAGCAUACUGGGUGUUGAACUUAUUGCAGGGACAAACUGGAAAGUCCAUCAGUUGGUUCUUUACUACUACGGUGUAUUAGCUAGGAUAGUGGAUGGACUGCUUGGUUUAGGUGGAGGCUUUAUUACGGCUCCUCUUUUCUUAGAGCUGGGAAUGCCUCCUCGGGUGCACACAUCAUCCUCUAGAUUUCACUACAUUAUAUUACUCAUGUUAAUUGCUUUUUCCUUCCAACUAGUCAUCUUUUAGCUCUGCAUCUUCCCCCUCGAACCUGCAAUACAUUUUACUCAUGUUAUACCUUUGCUGUUUUCAAAAGUCAAAUCAGCAUUUUUCAUUCAUUCUUUAUCCUGAAAGGUUGCCUCAUUGAGAUCAUAGUUCUAAAACUCAUUGAUUCGACUUGAAACCAAUGGCCCAUGUUAUGAGGGGGAAAAACCAAUGGCCCAUGUUCUAUAUAUGUGUGUGGCCCAUUGGAUGAAUGGUAAGAAAUAGUGAUCAAUGGCUAAUAUUGUAUUUACACAUGUGGCCUAUCUUAUGAAUGGAUGAUUGAUUUUGGUCUAGGGUAUGCUUAUUGUGCAUCUUACCUAAGCCUAGAUCUCACACACAUGCAACAAAGUCACCCUGUCCAUCAGCAUGUGAGUGAGUGCACUGACCAUUCAGUGGUGUUCGAAUGAGAGUGAGCAGAAGUAUCAAUGUACCUAUUACUCUAUGGCCACGUUUGAAUGCACAAUCAAAGUUGAAUGAUGAAGGUCGAAAAAGGUGAGCAUGGAACUAGAAAUUUUAAAAUAACUAUCAAACAAGUGCUUGGAGUACCAUGGUUCAAACCAUCACAAUGUAGAUAGGAUAUGGGCAUUGCAGAUACAAUGUGAUGUUAUAACUUUACACAGUUCAAUGAAUGACAUUUAAUUGUUAUUACAUUUUUUCAGAAAAUCAUUGUGGUAUUUUAUAGUUAUUUGCUACAAAAUCACCCGGAAGAAAGAAUCUUAUAAUUUUAGUACAGAAACUUGCACCAAGUAUUCCUUGCAUAUAUCUUUCUACAUGGUUCUCCUACUUUGAAAUUAGUAGUGAGUCUAAUUUCACAAUGCAAAUGCUAUUUGUAGUUCCAAUGUUUGCAGGCAUGUCAGCAAAACCAAGGAUUAGAUUGAGGAUGCUUAUCUAAAUCCAUGCUCAGCACCCAAUUCUCUGUAUGAAGUAUGCUUUUCUAGGACCAAGGCUUCAUGAUACGCACAACCAAUCAACUAAAGUUCAUUAUGUUUUUAACAUAUGUUGCAUCUUUUAGCAAUUGACUGCAUCUUUUAGUAGUUCUAUUUUUUUGUUUAGGAACCUCACGGAUUGUGUGCUAGUCUAUUUGUCAAGGGCAAUACUUGCAAACUGGUUAGGUGUUAGUUUGUUAUACUUUUCCCUGGUGUUCUUUCCAGAUUAGUUCAAAAGGUAAUUGUUGUUGCAGUUUUUGUCAUCA